rnacentral:rRNA from 1 species
AGAGUUUGAUCAUGGCUCAGGAUGAACGCUAGCGGCAGGCUUAAUACAUGCAAGUCGAGGGGCAGCGCAGUGUAGCAAUACAUGGGCGGCGACCGGCAAACGGGUGCGGAACACGUACACAACCUUCCUUUAAGCGGGGAAUAGCCCGGGGAAACCCGGAUUAAUACCCCAUAGUAUAUUGAAGAGGCAUCUCUUUAUUAUUAAAGAUUUAUCACUUGAAGAUGGGUGUGCGGCUGAUUAGCUAGUUGGCGGGGUAAUGGCCCACCAAGGCAACGAUCAGUAACUGGUGUGAGAGCACGACCAGUCACACGGGCACUGAGACACGGGCCCGACUCCUACGGGAGGCAGCAGUAAGGAAUAUUGGUCAAUGGACGCAAGUCUGAACCAGCCAUGCCGCGUGGAGGAUGAAGGUCCUCUGGAUUGUAAACUUCUUUUAUCUGGGACGAAAAAAGGUUUUUCUAGACCGACUGACGGUACCAGAUGAAUAAGCACCGGCUAACUCCGUGCCAGCAGCCGCGGUAAUACGGAGGGUGCAAGCGUUAUCCGGAUUCACUGGGUUUAAAGGGUGCGUAGGUGGAUUAGUAAGUCAGUGGUGAAAUCUCCGGGCUUAACCCGGAAACUGCCAUUGAUACUAUUAGUCUUGAAUACCGUGGAGGUCAGCGGAAUAUGUCAUGUAGCGGUGAAAUGCUUAGAUAUGACAUAGAACACCAAUUGCGAAGGCAGCUGGCUACACGAAUAUUGACACUCAGGCACGAAAGCGUGGGGAUCAAACAGGAUUAGAUACCCUAGUAGUCC